rnacentral:rRNA from 1 species
UACGGAGGGUGCAAGCGUUAUCCGGAUUCACUGGGUUUAAAGGGUGCGUAGGCGGGCUUGUAAGUCAGUGGUGAAAGCCCGGAGCUUAACUCCGGAACUGCCAUUGAUACUGCAAGUCUUGAGUACACUUGAGGUAGGCGGAAUACAUCAUGUAGUGGUGAAAUACUUAGAUAUGAUGUAGAACGCCGAUUGCGAAGGCAGCUUACUAAAUUGUAACUGACGCUGAGGCACGAAAGCGUGGGGAGUCAAACAGG